CCUACGGGAGGCUGCAGUGGGGAAUAUUGGACAAUGGGGGGAACCCUGAUCCAGCCAUGCCGCGUGUGUGAAGAAGGCCCUCGGGUUGUAAAGCACUUUCAGUGAGGAAGAACGCCUGGUGGUUAAUACCCAUCAGGAAAGACAUCACUCACAGAAGAAGCACCGGCUAACUCCGUGCCAGCAGCCGCGGUAAUACGGAGGGUGCGAGCGUUAAUCGGAAUUACUGGGCGUAAAGCGCGCGUAGGUGGUUUGAUAAGCCGGUUGUGAAAGCCCCGGGCUCAACCUGGGAACGGCAUCCGGAACUGUUAAGCUUGAGUGCAGAAGAGGAAGGUGGAAUUCCUGGUGUAGCGGUGAAAUGCGUAGAGAUCGGGAGGAAUACCAGUGGCGAAGGCGGCCCUCUGGACUGACACUGACGCUGAGGUGCGAAAGCGUGGGUAGCGAACAGGAUUAGAUACCCCUGUAGUC
rnacentral:rRNA from 1 species